UUAAGGAUCCAGCAUUGUCAUGAGCUGUGGUGUAGGUCGCAGAUGCAGCUCAGAUCCCAUGUGGCCGUGGCUGUGGCAUAGGCCAGCAGCUACAGCUCCAAUUCAACCCCUACCUUGGGAACCUCUAUUUGCUGCAGGUAUGGCCCUAAAAAGACCAAAAAAAUAAUUUUUUUUAAUAAAAAUCAGUAAUAAAUUGCGCUUAGGCAAUAGAAAGGGGGAAAGGGAGCUUUUCUUUAUUGUUUGCUCUUUUUUUCACUUAUCAGGUUUUCCCCCACUUGUCCAUCCUUUUCUACAGUUGUGGAAAUUUUUAUUUUUCUCCAGUGUUCCUCAGAUGUUCCCCGUUUGGAGUCCUAGAUUACCCCUCCACCAAGUUUUCUUAGAAUUAGGCAGAAGUGGAACCUGAGUCUCUGGAAAGUAAUGAAACUUUCCCCUGCUUUCUCAGACUCUCUUUCCUCCCUAAAAGCAAGAGGAGCAAAACAGUGGUUGGUGGUUUGUCACUGUUGCUUCUGUGGCUGUUCAAUUGACCUGAGCACUUUAUCUUCGUUCUUGAUACUUAUAUCUACAAAUGAAAUUAGGGCUAGUUACACUGCAUUUCCAUCAUCAGCUCUCCCUUGUGGUUCAAAUUUAGCACAAACCUGCUGUGGAUACAUAUUAAUUAGGGGAAUAUAAUAGGAUGGAAUUAUUUCAUGAGUUUUUUAAUGACUGUUCUUUGAAGUAUGGUUUUUAUCUUAUAAAUUUACCAUUAUUGUGUUGAAAAUCUAGAAAAUCUUUACAUGAGCAGCUAAGCUGCUGUCAGCCCAGAACAGUGUAAGUCGAACAUUAACUGGCAGGAAAACUGAUGAAGGUGUCUUUGACUUUGAGAUGCAGCAAGCCAUUUCAAGUGAAGUUGCCCAUUCUCUGUACAGAAUGGUGUGGCGGUCUUGUAACUUCAUUGCAUGGUUGGAGUCUGAAUAGAAGUUUUCUGUCACUGUUUGCCACAGGUGUAAGUUACAGGUGUGUCUUUUCUCUUCGAACUUGCCGCCUAGGCCCAUGCUACACAGUAUGGGAGACAAUUAGAUCCUUCCAUAGAAAGCUUCAUAAGUCAGCUGCUAACUACUGUGUGUAUAUAUUCGCAACUGUUCUGUAGUCUGUUAUUUUAGAAAAUGUGUGGGUGUGGGAAGUGAACUCAGGGUUAUUGGUGCUUCUUUGUACUAAGAAAAAUCACACUAGUUAAGGCAAGUCUGUGAUUUGUGUAUGUUUAGUUUUUUAAAAAAUCCUUCUGACCAUCUCCCACUCUUAAUUUCCCACCCCUACCUCCCGAAUGCAAGUAAUGAAGGAAUUAGAGUCAGAGGAUUUUAUAGCUAGAAGGAUUUGAGAGAGAAUCUGAUUUGCCCUCUAAUUUGAGAAAAUGGAUGUCCAGUGAGGUCACAUGAGAGCACGGAGCUAGUGCACAUAGCGAGCACACAGCACAUUUAAAGGCCUAAAUGACAUUAGUCGUUUCUUGCCAUUAGUAAACACUGUGGUGAUGAAUCUGCCUGAACAUGAUCCUAGUCGGAAGGUAAUAAUGAGAAUAACUAACAUGUAGCUGGUACUUUGACGUUCCUCUCUCAGUCACUUCUCAGAAGAGCUGUGGGGUAUGGUGAACCACCACUAGUUUCCUUCACAGAGAAAAUAGGCUCUAUGAUGGGCAGAGGCCUGUGCACGGUGGUCAUCUCUCAAAAGGGCCCGGGGCCCGAGUCCUCCACCUCAUCAAAAGCAUCAGCCAGUCUUAAAACAGCUCCCCUGAACCACAGGAUGGGGAAUCACAUCUUCACACUGUAGCUGCGCCUCUGAAUGUGAACCAAUUAUUAACUCUUGUCUAUUUUAUCACUUUUAAAGGGGGAGAAAAGACACUUUUUACAGAGCUGGGAGCUCAUAAACGUCUCAAAAGAAAGAUGCUGGAUAAUUGGAAAUAAGGAAGAAAUAUAAUGAGAAUUAGAAGCCUUUGAAUUAGGCUAGAAACACUGUGGACUACUAAGUGUAAAGUAGAAGAAGGUGAAGCUGAAUUUUAAAGCACUCUUCUUACCAGUGGAUUGGAUUGGUGACUGCAGCUUUGUCAGCAGCCGUGACUCCAUGUCCCAGGAUGCAGGGCAACCCAUCUGGGGAAGAGCCGAGGAGGCAGAGGAUGCCCUUCUAUGCAAACUACGGUGGCAGGACCAGCCUUCCACCUCCCUGGAGGUGAUCUGUGCUCUGGAUGUGCUGACUUGGAGAAGCAGGUAAGAGCAGUCACCAACCAGGCAGGCCAGGCCUUGUCCCUUGGUGAAGAGAGAGACAGUGAAGCUGAGGAAGG
ensembl:lncRNA